rnacentral:rRNA from 1 species
GGGAUCGCCCUUUCCGUAGGUGAACCUGCGGAAGGAUCAUUACCUAGAGUUGUAGGCUUUGCCUGCUAUCUCUUACCCAUGUCUUUUGAGUACCUUACGUUUCCUCGGCGGGUCCGCCCGCCGAUUGGACAAUUUAAACCAUUUGCAGUUGCAAUCAGCGUCUGAAAAAACUUAAUAGUUACAACUUUCAACAACGGAUCUCUUGGUUCUGGCAUCGAUGAAGAACGCAGCGAAAUGCGAUAAGUAGUGUGAAUUGCAGAAUUCAGUGAAUCAUCGAAUCUUUGAACGCACAUUGCGCCCCUUGGUAUUCCAUGGGGCAUGCCUGUUCGAGCGUCAUUUGUACCUUCAAGCUCUGCUUGGUGUUGGGUGUUUGUCUCGCCUCUGCGUGUAGACUCGCCUCAAAACAAUUGGCAGCCGGCGUAUUGAUUUCGGAGCGCAGUACAUCUCGCGCUUUGCACUCAUAACGACGACGUCCAAAAGUACAUUUUUACACUCUUGACCUCGGAUCAGGUAGGGAUACCCGCUGAACUUAAGCAUAUCAAUAAGCGGAGGAAAGGGCGAUCC